rnacentral:rRNA from 1 species
CCACCAUGAAGGCACCUGAUCUCAUCGGAUCCCAGAAGCUAAGCAGGAUCGGUCCCAGUUAAUCCUUGGGCGAAAGGCCACCUGGGAAUAUCCAGGG